rnacentral:rRNA from 1 species
AUGGUUGCCCGGAAGAAUGCUGCUGCAACGCUGUCCAGCCUAUCCACUGUGAAAGAAAGCAAGGUGAUCAUUGGGGCUGCUGGAUCAAUUCCACCUCUCAUUCUGCUGUUGAGUACCGGGAGUCAACAGGGUAAAAGGAAUGCUGCGGGAACACUAAUGGAUCUGUUCGUGGAGGCGGACAACAAGAGUAUAGCUAUUAGAGCCGGGUUCGUCCCUGUACUGCUAGAGCUUCUAACAGGAACUGAGGAUGGAAUCGGUUCCAUCUUUAUGUUGGCAAUUCUUUCCAAGCAUCCUGAGUGA